ensembl:lncRNA
AUGGCAGCCUCUCUGAGGAGGAUGAGGACCUGCAGCUUGCCAUGGCCUACAGCCUGUCAGAGAUGGAGGCAUCUGGGAAGAAACCGGCAGCCUGCCCCCAGCCUCCGGACUAGCCAGAGAUGUGUUCUGAGCUGGAUGUCCGGGACCCAGAGUUGCUGCACAGUUCCAACAGGACAGCGCCCAACCCUGUGCACUGGGAGGGACCCUCCAUCCCUCUCGCUCACCCGUGCUGAGCAUAGAGCUGGGCCUGGGUGGUGGGCGGGGGCCGGGUGGGAGGUAGGCUUAGCCUGUAAAUGCUUCCCAGGGUGUUUGGUGCUGUUUCCUGGGGACUACAAGUCCCAGAAUGCAACGCACCUCGCCUCCUUUCUGUUAGAUCAUGCUUGGAGGAAGUGGUGCGCAGUUAACGGAGCUGUGCAUCUUGGGAUAUGUAGUUCCAGCUCUGGUCGGCCUGUUAACUCGUCGUGAGAUGGGGACAUCUUGUCAUUUGAUUUGUCCCUGGCAGGGGUGGCAAGAAUGUGGAUGAAGGGGGAAUGUGAGCUUCGUUUCCCCUGAUACCUCUUGCUAGCGCUGGGGUUAGAGUGUACAAAUCAAGGCCCCGAGGCAUCUGGGAGAGGUUAUUUUCCUGUGGGCAGUCCUGGGGUCUGAGAAUGAGCCAGGGCGGAUUGGCUGAGCAGGGCGUGGUCUCAAGAGGGCUGAUGGGCAUGGGCUGGUGAGAGCUUGGAAGGUGGAAGGCCACCCUAGCGCUCUGGGGUGUGUUGAGUGUGUGUGUGUGUGGCUGGAAUCAGCGUGUGAUGGGUGCUCCGGGCAUGCCGCUGCUUGUAUGGCUCCUUUGGCCUCUGACCCUGCUGCCCAUUCUUUCUCUCCAACACCACAGAAACUGCCUCUCCUCCUCCCUCCCUGGGGAGCCCGGUGGCCGGGGAGGGAAGUGGUGGAGCUGGAGUGUUGCCAGCCCCUGUGCCAUUGAGUCUCAGUGACCUAUCAAAGCCAGCUGGGCUGAGCUCAGACCAAGAGGGAAACACUGGAAGUCAAUAAAGCUGAGUUUCGAGAGCUUAGUGGUGUGCUGUGUCCUGUGUGCUUCCUUCCCGCCAGCCAACCCUGUGGGGCCAGCGGGUGACACACCUCCCUUUAUUUCUCAGGCAUCCAGAGGUCGCAAGCCUUCCCAGCUGACAGCAGAAGUCCCCUCUUUGACCAGGCGGCCCUCCCCUAAUAUGGUGUGGAAUCCCAGGCUGUGCUCACAUGCCUCACCUCUGGGGCCCCCCCCGGGCCCCCCCCCACCCCGCACUGGGCUUUCACAGGCAGCUAUUGUUCUCCAAAUGCAGGACCCCACCACCNNNNNNNNNNNNNNNNNNNNNNNNNNNNNNNNNNNNNNNNNNNNNNNNNNNNNNNNNNNNNNNNNNNNNNNNNNNNNNNNNNGGUGAAACACCUCUAAAAACCUCCUCCUGAGGCCCAGAGACUAAGCACCACCUCCACAGGUCCUCUUAGCUUAUGGCUAGCACCCAGGGUCAGAAGCCUGCCUCUCUCACAUGGAGUAGCAUAAGUCUGCCCCACGCAGGGUCCAGGGUCCAGGGAGGCGAAAACUAGGUACCUCUCCCAUCCUGUCUCUUCAGACACCUGCAGAGAGGCCCUCCCAGCCACGGGACAAGCACUUUUCCAUCAUCUUGCAGGGCAGUGUGGUUCGCCUCCAACUCUCUCUUCCAUUCGGGGGUAAGCACUGGGCUUCAUCCUCAAUAGCCAAAGGACCUAUAUUGUAUUUUCCUCAAAACAAGGAAGCAGCAUGCCCUGAAAGGAAUUUCAAGCCUCCGUCUUGAGAGAGAGAGAGAGAGAAUCUGUUGGAAGUUUCUGCCCACUUCCCGCCUUUACGAUGACCAACAGUGGUGUUGAGCUGCAGCAGAGCACAGAUGAGGGGUGGAGGGCCACAGGUCCACACACUGUCCCUUCAUUCUCUGAGCAGGACAGGUGGUACUUGCCCAUCUUUGAUGUGGGGGCCUGAGCCUUGGGCUUCCCUGGAGACUCAGAUGGUAAAGAAUCUUGCCUGAAAUGCAGGAGACACGGGUUUGAUCCCUGGGUCAGGAAGAUCCCCUGGAGANNNNNNNNNNNNNNNNNNNNNNNNNNNNNNNNNNNNNAAUCCCAUGGACAGAGGAGCCUGGUGGGCUACAGUCCAUGGGGGCGCAAAGAGCUGGAAAGGACUGAGUGACCAACACUUUCACUUUCUGAGCCUUGGCAAGGUGAGGUGGCCCUAAUUAAUUCCUGAGUAGCUCCAGGCUCAAGGCUCUUUUUGCCUCAUUUCUAUGUAUACCACGGUUGUCCAAGGAACAUGUGGAUGGAGUCUCCUCAGGCCACACAGAGUGGGGGCAUUCUGGGGGAAUGGGGAGAAAGUGCCCUUUGCCCCCAGGUGAAUGAAUGUUGUGACAUCUCACAGGCCUAUCUGUGAGUCUUUACCAAAGUUUAGCUAAUUCUGCUUAAGCUGUGGUGAGCACUUGGCCUGUAUCACCUCAUUUAGUCCUAACCUCCGUCCUGCGUGAUGUAUAUUAUUCCUGAGGCCAAAAGGUGCGAAGCUGCUGCCCUAGAACUAAGAGGGGAUGCAGCAAAGAGGCUAAGCGUGCCUGUGUUGGAAUCCCAAUUCCACCACUUAACUAGUCGUGGUACCUCAGGCAAGUUCUGUGCAGUCUCUCUGUCUGUAAAAUGGGGCUAAUAAUUGGUAGCAUGUCCUGAAGAUUAAACCAGUUAAUGGUUAUCAAGCACCUUGGAGGCUAUCAGACAUGUAGGAAGUACAGCAUAAAAAACUACUGCCUGAUUGUCAUUUGCUUCCAUGCAAGCCUUGGAGAGCCUGACUCCACCGCCCGGCUCUCCCGUUAAUUGUCUGCAUCUCCUGAAACGCAGCAGGGCCUGCUCCAGGCUGAGACUGGGGCUGAAGCUUGGAAGCAGAGCAGAGAAACGCAUAGGAGGUCUGGGUUGCAGCUGCACACACGACACACUAACUUUAUUCACAUUGAUACAAAAGUAGAUUUUUCCAGAAAUGUUCUCUUGUGCCAGGGGGAGCAAGUUGAGUGGCACGUGGCAGAAGGGUGGGGGGAGGGGGCGGGAGGGGGCAGGAGGGGCAAGGGCCACAGUGUGGGUCGUGGAGGCAGGACAGCGGGCAGCAGGGGCUAGGGGAGCAGGACGAUCUGGGCAU